UACGUAGGGGGCAAGCGUUGUCCGGAAUCAUUGGGCGUAAAGAGCGUGUAGGCGGCUCGAUAAGUCCGCUGUGAAAGUCCAGGGCUCAACCCUGGAAGGCCGGUGGAAACUGUCGGGCUAGAGUCCGGAAGAGGCGAGUGGAAUUCCCGGUGUAGCGGUGAAAUGCGCAGAUAUCGGGAGGAACACCAAUGGCGAAGGCAGCUCGCUGGGACGGUACUGACGCUGAGGCGCGAAAGCCAGGGGAGCAAACGGG
rnacentral:rRNA from 1 species